rnacentral:rRNA from 1 species
GACGAACGCUGGCGGCGUGCCUAAUACAUGCAAGUAGAACGCUGAAGGAGGAGCUUGCUUCUCUGGAUGAGUUGCGAACGGGUGAGUAACGCGUAGGUAACCUGCCUGGUAGCGGGGGAUAACUAUUGGAAACGAUAGCUAAUACCGCAUAAUAGUAGAUGUCGCAUGACAUUUGCUUAAAAGGUGCAAUUGCAUCACUACCAGAUGGACCUGCGUUGUAUUAGCUAGUUGGCGAGGUAACGGCUCACCAAGGCAACGAUACAUAGCCGACCUGAGAGGGUGAUCGGCCACACUGGGACUGAGACACGGCCCAGACUCCUACGGGAGGCAGCAGUAGGGAAUCUUCGGCAAUGGACGGAAGUCUGACCGAGCAACGCCGCGUGAGUGAAGAAGGUUUUCGGAUCGUAAAGCUCUGUUGUAAGAGAAGAACGAGUGUGAGAGUGGAAAGUUCACACUGUGACGGUAUCUUACCAGAAAGGGACGGCUAACUACGUG